UCUCGACUAGUAUAUCGGUUUAGUACACGCGCCUGUCAUAUGCAAAAUAUGGUCGCGCGAAAGCUGGGUUCGACUCCCAGGUCGAGAG